GUUCCCCGGCUGGGGAGCUCGGAGCUGCCACACUGCUGAAAAAGCACCUUUCCCGCGCCCAGCGGCGCGCGGCGCCUCAGGGGCCCCUGGCUGAGGGGAAGAGGGGGGUCUCGGCUCCUAUGUUAAAUUAGCCUGUCUUUAACAGCCCAAUGCCGCUAGGUGUUAAAUUAACCCGUCAUUUAGCAGCCAGUUGUACUUUAUAUCGCUGCUCAAGGCCGGCAGGGGAAGCGUGUGAGGUAGAAACAAGCAGCCCAUGUCGCCACAGGUGCGAACUGCCCCUCUCUUCCACCUUCCCGCCGUUCUUGUGUCUAAAACGGGUCCAGCAAGACAUCUCCCCAGACAUCUUUCUUCCUUGAUAUGCUUCAGGUAGCACUGAGGACAGAAGGACCUCCACCCUCCUGCUUUCUUCUGGUGGUGCUUUUGGCAAUCAGCUGGUCCAGUCAAUGGCUUCUUGUGAAAAGCACAUGAAUGGAAGAAUCUCAGUGUGCCACAUGCGUGACAGAAAGAACCCUUGUUUUCCAGAUGAAAAACAGACACCUCACCACCUUCAGGAUAACACCGCUCCUCCUUUCUGCACUGCUGUCAUCUGAGGAGGAUACCAACGUGUUUAAUAAACUGUGGGCAAAGUCUGUCUGUUAGAUAUGCAGCUUCCCUUAAAUACAUUGAAGAGUAUGAACGUGGUUCUCUUUGUGCAGAUAUCCCUCUCUAGUUGCGUUUCAGCAGCUGGCAAUCUCUGUGGUGGGAAACACAGGAGCCUUUGCCAUUCUGUGGCACCAGGAUUACACAAAGGAAGGGAAGUGAGGAACACGUCAUCCCACUGAAACUACAGAGAAAAUUCAGGGAGAAAGAAAAACGUCUGAGUUGGAACAUAGCCACUUCUCAAGAGGUUAACACCCUACUUCUGUGAAAAGUGCCAUAGUCGUAAUGAUAAAAAGUGGUCAAGGCCUCAAGUUUCAUUCAAAGGAAAGUUUUUCAAUUCAGUUUCCAUUAAAAAAAAAUAAUCAAAAUCCAGAGCAAUGCAGUUCUUUCUAGGCACACUAAAGCUCUGGGUAAAAUGUGCAGCAAAUACCUCUUUUGGUUAGGAAAUCUUUAAAAAUGUGUCAGAACGCAGUGAGUAGAUCAAUUAAUAAUUCUCAGCCUAUGUCUCGUUUGUGAAUCAUUUGUUUGCAUACUUUACUAUCCGUUACUCAUAUCGUGUGGCCGAUUGCUUGAGGCUUUGUCUUCACUGCAAAAGGGCUCUGUUCUUCUCUUGAGCUCCCUUCCAAUCCCUAACGUUCUGUGAUUCUGUGAUUCACUUGGAGGUACCUGGGCCAGAUCAGCUUUGCUCCCCCCCGGCUGCAUUUUUCUUUGAGUUACAGGGAUAGAAACCACUGUGCCUUGCUUCCAUUAGGAUUUAUACUUGGACAGCCAGCUGGAGAAAGACAGCUAUUUUAAUGGAAAAAACCACUGGGCUUGUGUUUGUUUUUUGUUUGCUCUGCAGCGAACAUGUCAUUUUUGUCCAAGACAUUGUUUCAGCUCCCUAAUUGAAUGACGGAAAUUUUGAAAGCAGAACAAUGAAAUGGCAUUCUUCUGAAAAAAAAAAAAAAAUCUGGUUGCAUUCCAAGUAUUUGCAAAUAAUUCUGAUUGCAGAAGGCAGAAUGAAACAAACUCAUUAAAGUAUUUGUGAAUACA